rnacentral:rRNA from 1 species
AUUGAACGCUGGCGGCAGGCCUAACACAUGCAAGUCGAGCGGAUGACGGGAGCUUGCUCCUGGAUUCAGCGGCGGACGGGUGAGUAAUGCCUAGGAAUCUGCCUGGUAGUGGGGAACAACGUUUCGAAAGGAACGCUAAUACCGCAUACGUCCUACGGGAGAAAGCAGGGGACCUUCGGGCCUUGCGCUAUCAGAUGAGCCUAGGUCGGAUUAGCUAGUUGGUGAGGUAAAGGCUCACCAAGGCUACGAUCCGUAACUGGUCUGAGAGGAUGAUCAGUCACACUGGAACUGAGACACGGUCCAGACUCCUACGGGAGGCAGCAGUGGGGAAUAUUGGACAAUGGGCGAAAGCCUGAUCCAGCCAUGCCGCGUGUGUGGAGAAGGUCUUCGGAUUGUAAAGCACUUUAAGUUGGGAGGAAGGGCAGUAAGUUAAUACCUUGCUGUUUUGACGUUACCGACAGAAUAAGCACCGGCUAACUUCGUGCCAGCCGCCGCCGUAAAAC